GGUCGAGCGCGCUGACGGUUGAAGCGCUUCUGCCGACCGGACGCGUGGACCGUCAGGCUGUGCCGCCGCGCAUGCCUCAAAGCUCGGCCUCGCUGCAGAAGCGGGAAGGAAGGUGGCGGUUGCCAGGCCCGUGGGGUGAAGAAACUACUGAUAGCCGUGAUUAUCUCUGGGGCAUGGAAGCAAGCACAGAUGAAGUUCAACUGGACUUGAUUGUUGCAAGUUUUUACAAAGAAAUACUGAUUCCACAAAUACGUAGCCACUGCUAAUUGUAUAUCCCACCCACUCUGCUGGGUUUCAGAGGUAAAGAUGGAGAACAGGGACGACUUCAGGUGAACCUGGGAGAGCACCUUAGCAUGCAUCCAAGCCAAGGUACCAAAGCACGCGAGUGCCUAGGUGCCCAUCACCACGGACUCGCAGCAGAAACACACUCAUUUCACUUAAUGUCCUUGAUGAAGCAAAAAAAAAAAAAAAAUCCCAAGCUUAUUGGGGUGCCUGGGUGGCUCAGUCAUUUGAGCGUCUGACUUUGGCUCAGGUCGUGAUCUCACGGUUCG